UGGGGAAUUUUGGACAAUGGGCGAAAGCCUGAUCCAGCAAUGCCGCGUGUGUGAAGAAGGCCUUCGGGUUGUAAAGCACUUUUGUCCGGAAAGAAAUGGCUCUGGUUAAUACCUGAGGUCGAUGACGGUACCGGAAGAAUAAGGACCGGCUAACUACGUGCCAGCAGCCGCGGUAAUACGUAGGGUCCAAGCGUUAAUCGGAAUUACUGGGCGUAAAGCGUGCGCAGGCGGUUGUGCAAGACCGAUGUGAAAUCCCCGAGCUUAACUUGGGAAUUGCAUUGGUGACUGCACGGCUAGAGUGUGUCAGAGGGGGGUAGAAUUCCACGUGUAGCAGUGAAAUGCGUAGAGAUGUGGAGGAAUACCGAUGGCGAAGGCAGCCCCCUGGGAUAACACUGACGCUCAUGCACGAAAGCGUGGGGAGCAAACAGGAUUAGAU
rnacentral:rRNA from 1 species